CUAAGGAAUAGAACGGAAACUACACAAGUUUGCAUUUGUUCAGUUUUGAGAGGUUUACUCUCAAAAAGAUUUGUUCAUUGAAAACUGGAUAUUGAAAAGUAAUACAAAAAAACCGAGAAAACACCGCGUUGAAUGAGUUUAAGAAGUUCAAUUGCUUUAUUAUUUAAAAGAUCUGAUCGCACAGAUCGAA
rnacentral:misc_RNA from 2 species